rnacentral:rRNA from 1 species
GGACGGGUGAGGAAUGCAUCGGAAUCUGCCUGUUUGUGGGGGAUAACGCAUGGAAACGUGCGCUAAUACCGCAUACGUCCUUUUGUCGGGAGAUGAUUGGAGAAAGUGGGGGACCUUCGGGCCUCACGCGAACAGAUGAGCCGAUGUCGGAUUAGCUGGUUGGUGGGGUAAAGGCCUACCAAGGCGACGAUCCGUAGCUGGUCUGAGAGGAUGAUCAGCCACACUGGAACUGAGACACGGUCCAGACUCCUACGGGAGGCAGCAGUGGGGAAUAUUGGACAAUGGGGGCAACCCUGAUCCAGCCAUGCCGCGUGUGUGAAGAAGGCCCUUGGGUUGUAAAGCACUUUUGUUGGGGAAGAAAAGUUUUCGGUGAAUAUCUGGAGACGCUGACGGUACCCAAAGAAUAAGCACCGGCUAUCUUCGUGCCAGCAGCCGCGGUAAUACGAAGGGUGCAAGCGUUACUCGGAUUUACUGGGCGUAAAGGGUGCGCAGGCGGCCUGCCAAGUCUGAUGUGAAAGCCCUGGGCUCAACCUGGGAACGGCAUUGGAAACUGGUGGGCUGGAGUACGGUAGAGGGUGGUGGAAUUCCUGGUGUAGCAGUGAAAUGCGUAGAGAUCAGGA